UGCCGAGCAGCCUCACGUACUGCAGGAGAGAUGCUAUUCCAAAUAAAGUCCCAUUGUGUGCAUGGCUCGCUGCUGUACUGAUACUGAGUGCACUCCUAGAAUGGCCCUGUGUGGGGUUCAUAGAAUUGCAAAUCUAACAGAAGAAAUACUUGGCAUCCUCUUUUUAAAACCAAAAUUCUCUGGAUUUGUAAUGCUGAAAUGAAGAAAAUGGGAACCAGGACAAUGGAAUCCAGCAUUAAAAAUAGAGAGCUAAACACGGAGCAGGAGAGUGAGAUUGUGAGCUGGCAGGUUGUUGCUCAGCUGUCAGUAAAAAGAUCCUUCCAAGUGAAGAUGUUUCAAACUCCUGCUGAAGCCCCCAGCCAGCUGAUUGAUGCAGGAAAACUGGGGACUGAAACCCUCCUUGGGAGCAAAACAAAGGCCACGACACACAGCUGGAUGUGGUGCUGUUCCUGGGAUGCAAAGGGCCCUCCCAGAGGGUGACAGAACAGAAAAUAUUCAAGUUUGAAAGAUGUGCCCAGUGUUAGAAGCUCCUCCUGGUGAUGCCCAGCCACUCUCCUGGGUAUCUUCUGUCCCUUUGCUGAUUAAACCUGAUUCUGAGUGCACACAAGGAGGCUGGGUAGCAAAGGGAAAAGGGCAA